rnacentral:rRNA from 1 species
AUUGAACGCUGGCGGCAGGCCUAACACAUGCAAGUCGAGCGGUAACAGGGGAAGCUUGCUUCCCGCUGACGAGCGGCGGACGGGUGAGUAAUGUAUGGGGAUCUGCCCGAUAGAGGGGGAUAACCACUGGAAACGGUGGCUAAUACCGCAUAAUCUCUUAGGAGCAAAGCAGGGGAACUUCGGUCCUUGCGCUAUCGGAUGAACCCAUAUGGGAUUAGCUAGUAGGUGGGGUAAUGGCUCACCUAGGCGACGAUCCCUAGCUGGUCUGAGAGGAUGAUCA